UACAGAGGGUGCAAGCGUUAAUCGGAUUUACUGGGCGUAAAGCGUGCGUAGGCGGUUCAUUAAGUCGGUUGUGAAAUCCCUGGGCUUAACCUGGGAACUGCAGUCGAUACUGGUGGACUAGAGUACGGUAGAGGGUGGCGGAACUCCGGGUGUAGCGGUGAAAUGCGUAGAUAUCCGGAAGAACACCGAUGGCGAAGGCAACCACCUGGGCCUGUACUGACGCUGAGGUACGAAAGCGUGGGGAGCAAACAGG
rnacentral:rRNA from 1 species